rnacentral:hammerhead_ribozyme from 1 species
AUCCAGCUGAAGUGCCCUAAAUAGGACAAAACGUGCGUUCUGGAU